rnacentral:rRNA from 1 species
CCUACGGGAGGCAGCAGUAGGGAAUAUUGCUCAAUGGGGGAAACCCUGAAGCAGCAACGCCGCGUGGAGGAUGAAGGUUUUCGGAUUGUAAACUCCUUUUGUUAGGGAAGAUAAUGACGGUAUCUAACGAAUAAGCACCGGCUAACUCCGUGCCAGCAGCCGCGGUAAUACGGAGGGUGCAAGCGUUACUCGGAAUCACUGGGCGUAAAGAGCGCGUAGGCGGGAUAGCAAGUCAGAUGUGAAAUCCUAGGGCUUAACCAUAGAACUGCAUUUGAAACUGUUAUUCUAGAGUAUGGGAGAGGUAGGUGGAAUUCUUGGUGUAGGGGUAAAAUCCGUAGAGAUCAAGAGGAAUACUCAUUGCGAAGGCGACCUGCUAGAACAUAACUGACGCUGAGGCGCGAAAGCGUGGGGAGCAAACAGGAUUAGAUACCCUAGUAGUC